GGGUUGUAAUUGGAAUGAUGGUGACCCAAACCCUCACCAGAGUAGCAAUUGGAGGGCAAGUUUGGUGCCAGCAGCCGCGGUAAUUCCAGCUCCAAUAGCGUAUAUUAAACUUGUUGCAGUUAAAAAGCUCGUAGUUGAAUUUUAGCGUGUUCGAGUUUGCCAUUCGUUUGGCUUUUUCGAGUUCGCUUUUGGGUUUUCCCUUUUUACUUUGAAAAAAUUAAAGUGUUUCAAGCAAACUUUUGUCUUGAAUACUUCAGCAUGGAAUAAUAAAGUAGGACUUUGGUUCUAUUUUGUUGGUUAUUGAACCUUA
rnacentral:rRNA from 1 species